rnacentral:rRNA from 1 species
ACGAACGCUGGCGGCAUGCCUAACACAUGCAAGUCGAACGGCUCUUCGGAGCAGUGGCGCACGGGUGAGUAACGCGUGGGAACCUACCCUGAGGUUCGGAAUAACGGCUGGAAACGGCCGCUAAUACCGGAUGUGCCCUGAGGGGCAAAGGCUUGCCGCCUUGGGAGGGGCCCGCGUCCGAUUAGCUAGUUGGUGGGGUAAUGGCCUACCAAGGCGACGAUCGGUAGCUGGUCUGAGAGGAUGAUCAGCCACACUGGGACUGAGACACGGCCCAGACUCCUACGGGAGGCAGCAGUGGGGAAUAUUGGACAAUGGGCGCAAGCCUGAUCCAGCAAUGCCGCGUGUGUGAUGAAGGCCUUAGGGUUGUAAAGCACUUUCGCCGGUGACGAUGAUGACGGUAGCCGGAUAAGAAGCCCCGGCUAACUCCGU